GUCGGGAUGGGCAGCGCGGGGCUCUCGGCUGCUCCCACCGCUGUUACAGGGGGAACCCAGCCCGGGCCAAAGGAGAGGCAAACUGGGAAAACUGGGGGCUGCACAUCCAAACUGGGGCUGGCUGGGGACCCUGCCUGGGGCCUGGGAUCAGACUGGGAGUGGCUUCAACCAUCCUGGGAUUAGAGUGGGUGUGCUUGGACCCUCACUGGGGGUUACUGGGAGAUACUAGGCCCAUGCUGGGAGCCAACUGGGGAUACACUUAGAGGAACUGGGAGCAACUGGGAGACAACUGGGAGCAAAUGAACUACACUGAAGUAACAGGGAGUGCCUGGGAAUGAUUACGAGAAUGGUCAAGGCAAAUGGGAUGUACUGGUGUGUCUGAGACCAAAGAGGUGGGGACUGGGACCAGACUGGGAGCAACUGGGAGUGUGCUGGGGGAACUGGGAACAGGCUGGGGCCAAGUGGGAGUGACUGCAGCCUUGCUGGGAGAGACUGGGAUCAUACUGGGAGUGUCUAGGACUAUGCUAGGGACAGCUUGGAGAACUGGGAACACAAUGAAUCAAAGUGGGAGCAACUGGGACCUUGUUGGGGGCAAAUUGCAUCAUCAUAGGGAAUGACUGGGAGGGACUGGGCUCAUACUGGGAACAACAAGGAUCCUGUAGGGAGUGAGCGGAAGUGACCAGGAUCAUACUGGGAGCAGCUGAGCUCAUACUGGGAGGGACUGGGCUCAUACUGGGAGCAGCCAUUUCUGGCCCCAGCACCCCGAAUCCCUUUCCCGGCCAGGCCACCCCUCCAGCCCCAGCACCCCCCAUUGCCGGGUGCCGGCACUGCCAGGGGUCCCCGCGUCUCGGGGUGCCCGCUGGGGCUCCUGGGGCUCUCCUCUCUCGGGGCUCCCGCCCAGGGAAGCUGCGGCUCUCCUGGGGCUCCCCAAUUCCGGGGUCCCCCCGCCACUCCCGCCCGGUGCCCACGUGGCCCCGGCAGAGCUCGGAGGGCCCGGCCGGGAGCCCAACCCUCACCGCGGGGGGACCCGCAUCCCCCGGCCCCGCCAGGGCUCUGCCGCCACCCGCACCGGAACCCCCCAAAAACACCUCCCGGGGACCCCCCGAUGUCCCCCCGAGGGCAGCUGCGGCUCGGCUUUGGAGCCCUACCAGCUCCAAACAUCCCCCCCAAAAACCCCAACCCCAGAGAGCCCCGGGAUAUUUGGGGCGAGCUCCCCCUGCCCGCACACCUGCGGGAUGGGGGCGAUGCUCCUGGGCCAAAGCAGCUGCGGGUGCCGAGAGCGCUGUAAGUGCGCGGGGCUUCUGCUGCUGCUCCAGCGCCGCCUGCUUCCGCUCCUCCUCUUCCUCCUCUGUCCCUCCUCCUCCUCCUCCAGGGCCGGACACGAUGGCAAAGGGCUGAGUCACCCCCAAACCCAGCUGAGGGAGCGGAGGUAUGAACCUUCUCACUGCGCACGGGCAGCAUCAGCAUGUUCAGGGAGAUCCUGGGGGACCUGGGGGUCACCCCAAACCCCAGGGGACCCAAUUGUUCAGGGACGCCCUGAAGUCCCUUCACCACUGGAUCUGCUGCAGGCAGGGGGGCACCAGCACUCGGCCCCCACCCCCCACCAUCCCAGGAGGGCCGUGGAAGAAAUCUGGGGGUGCACGGAAAGGGGUAACACAGGGGAACUCCCAGGAAUACCCACUGGGGUUAGGGGAGACCCAGGAGGAGUUUGGGCAGGCUUAAUUGUGUCACUAUAGUCAGGAUAGGGGACUCCAAGGGUCUCAUUGUCCACAUUCCCAGCAAAAGGUGGGAAAACCC
ensembl:lncRNA